rnacentral:tRNA from 1 species
CUCGACGUAGCUCAACCGGACAGAGCCUUCGCCUCCUAAGCGAACGAGUGGACGUUCGAGUCGUCCCGUCGGGACCA